rnacentral:rRNA from 1 species
UACGUAGGGUGCGAGCGUUAAUCGGAAUUACUGGGCGUAAAGCGUGCGCAGGCGGUUUUGUAAGUCAGAUGUGAAAUCCCCGGGCUUAACCUGGGAACUGCGUUUGAAACUACAAGGCUAGAGUGUGGCAGAGGGGGGUAGAAUUCCACGUGUAGCAGUGAAAUGCGUAGAGAUGUGGAGGAAUACCGAUGGCGAAGGCAGCCCCCUGGGCUAACACUGACGCUCAUGCACGAAAGCGUGGGGAGCAAACAGG